rnacentral:rRNA from 1 species
GGGUUGUGAGGUUAAGCGACUAAGCGUACACGGUGGAUGCCCUGGCAGUCAGAGGCGAUGAAGGACGUGCUAAUCUGCGAUAAGCGUCGGUAAGGUGAUAUGAACCGUUAUAACCGGCGAUUUCCGAAUGGGGAAACCCAGUGUGAUUCGUCACACUAUCAUUAACUGAAUCCAUAGGUUAAUGAGGCGAACCGGGGGAACUGAAACAUCUAAGUACCCCGAGGAAAAGAAAUCAACCGAGAUUCCCCCAGUAGCGGCGAGCGAACGGGGAGCAGCCCAGAGCCUGAAUCAGUGUGUGUGUUAGUGGAAGCGUCUGGAAAGGCGUGCGAUACAGGGUGACAGCCCCGUACACAAAAAUGCACAUAUUGUGAGCUCGAUGAGUAGGGCGGGACACGUGGUAUCCUGUCUGAAUAUGGGGGGACCAUCCUCCAAGGCUAAAUACUCCUGACUGACCGAUAGUGAACCAGUACCGUGAGGGAAAGGCGAAAAGAACCCCGGCGAGGGGAGUGAAAAAGAACCUGAAACCGUGUACGUACAAGCAGUGGGAGCACGCUUAGGCGUGUGACUGCGUACCUUUUGUAUAAUGGGUCAGCGACUUAUAUUCUGUAGCAAGGUUAACCGAAUAGGGGAGCCGAAGGGAAACCGAGUCUUAACUGGGCGUUAAGUUGCAGGGUAUAGACCCGAAACCCGGUGAUCUAGCCAUGGGCAGGUUGAAGGUUGGGUAACACUAACUGGAGGACCGAACCGACUAAUGUUGAAAAAUUAGCGGAUGACUUGUGGCUGGGGGUGAAAGGCCAAUCAAACCGGGAGAUAGCUGGUUCUCCCCGAAAGCUAUUUAGGUAGCGCCUCGUGAAUUCAUCUCCGGGGGUAGAGCACUGUUUCGGCAAGGGGGUCAUCCCGACUUACCAACCCGAUGCAAACUGCGAAUACCGGAGAAUGUUAUCACGGGAGACACACGGCGGGUGCUAACGUCCGUCGUGAAGAGGGAAACAACCCAGACCGCCAGCUAAGGUCCCAAAGUCAUGGUUAAGUGGGAAACGAUGUGGGAAGGCCCAGACAGCCAGGAUGUUGGCUUAGAAGCAGCCAUCAUUUAAAGAAAGCGUAAUAGCUCACUGGUCGAGUCGGCCUGCGCGGAAGAUGUAACGGGGCUAAACCAUGCACCGAAGCUGCGGCAGCGACGCUGAUGCGUUGUUGGGUAGGGGAGCGUUCUGUAAGCCUGCGAAGGUGUGCUGUGAGGCAUGCUGGAGGUAUCAGAAGUGCGAAUGCUGACAUAAGUAACGAUAAAGCGGGUGAAAAGCCCGCUCGCCGGAAGACCAAGGGUUCCUGUCCAACGUUAAUCGGGGCAGGGUGAGUCGACCCCUAAGGCGAGGCCGAAAGGCGUAGUCGAUGGGAAACAGGUUAAUAUUCCUGUACUUGGUGUUACUGCGAAGGGGGGACGGAGAAGGCUAUGUUGGCCGGGCGACGGUUGUCCCGGUUUAAGCGUGUAGGCUGGUUUUCCAGGCAAAUCCGGAAAAUCAAGGCUGAGGCGUGAUGACGAGGCACUACGGUGCUGAAGCAACAAAUGCCCUGCUUCCAGGAAAAGCCUCUAAGCAUCAGGUAACAUCAAAUCGUACCCCAAACCGACACAGGUGGUCAGGUAGAGAAUACCAAGGCGCUUGAGAGAACUCGGGUGAAGGAACUAGGCAAAAUGGUGCCGUAACUUCGGGAGAAGGCACGCUGAUAUGUAGGUGAAGUCCCUCGCGGAUGGAGCUGAAAUCAGUCGAAGAUACCAGCUGGCUGCAACUGUUUAUUAAAAACACAGCACUGUGCAAACACGAAAGUGGACGUAUACGGUGUGACGCCUGCCCGGUGCCGGAAGGUUAAUUGAUGGGGUCAGCGCAAGCGAAGCUCUUGAUCGAAGCCCCGGUAAACGGCGGCCGUAACUAUAACGGUCCUAAGGUAGCGAAAUUCCUUGUCGGGUAAGUUCCGACCUGCACGAAUGGCGUAAUGAUGGCCAGGCUGUCUCCACCCGAGACUCAGUGAAAUUGAACUCGCUGUGAAGAUGCAGUGUACCCGCGGCAAGACGGAAAGACCCCGUGAACCUUUACUAUAGCUUGACACUGAACAUUGAGCCUUGAUGUGUAGGAUAGGUGGGAGGCUUUGAAGUGUGGACGCCAGUCUGCAUGGAGCCGACCUUGAAAUACCACCCUUUAAUGUUUGAUGUUCUAACGUUGACCCGUAAUCCGGGUUGCGGACAGUGUCUGGUGGGUAGUUUGACUGGGGCGGUCUCCUCCUAAAGAGUAACGGAGGAGCACGAAGGUUGGCUAAUCCUGGUCGGACAUCAGGAGGUUAGUGCAAUGGCAUAAGCCAGCUUGACUGCGAGCGUGACGGCGCGAGCAGGUGCGAAAGCAGGUCAUAGUGAUCCGGUGGUUCUGAAUGGAAGGGCCAUCGCUCAACGGAUAAAAGGUACUCCGGGGAUAACAGGCUGAUACCGCCCAAGAGUUCAUAUCGACGGCGGUGUUUGGCACCUCGAUGUCGGCUCAUCACAUCCUGGGGCUGAAGUAGGUCCCAAGGGUAUGGCUGUUCGCCAUUUAAAGUGGUACGCGAGCUGGGUUUAGAACGUCGUGAGACAGUUCGGUCCCUAUCUGCCGUGGGCGCUGGAGAACUGAGGGGGGCUGCUCCUAGUACGAGAGGACCGGAGUGGACGCAUCACUGGUGUUCGGGUUGUCAUGCCAAUGGCACUGCCCGGUAGCUAAAUGCGGAAGAGAUAAGUGCUGAAAGCAUCUAAGCACGAAACUUGCCCCGAGAUGAGUUCUCCCUGACUCCUUGAGAGUCCUGAAGGAACGUUGAAGACGACGACGUUGAUAGGCCGGGUGUGUAAGCGCAGCGAUGCGUUGAGCUAACCGGUACUAAUGAACCGUGAGGCUUAACCUUACAACGCCGAAG